rnacentral:rRNA from 1 species
UACGUAGGUGGCAAGCGUUGUCCGGAUUUACUGGGCGUAAAGAGCGCGCAGGCGGUCGUUCAAGUCGCGUGUGAAAGCCCCCGGCUCAACUGGGGAGGGUCAUUCGAUACUGAUGGACUCGAAGGCAGGAGAGGGAAGCGGAAUUCCCGGUGUAGUGGUGAAAUGCGUAGAUAUCGGGAGGAACACCAGUGGCGAAGGCGACUACCUGGCCUGUUCUUGACGCUGAGGCGCGAAAGCUAGGGGAGCAAACGGG